CUUUUGAUUCUAGGUUUCUUCUGUUCAACUUACUUCACUUAUUAUGGUUUCCACUUUUAUUUUAAUUUGUAUUUCUCUUUUGAUUUUGGACUAGAAGGUGGAAGAUUGAAAGAGAAGGAAAGGGAACAGAGUGUUUGUUGAGAGGCGUUCAUCAAAAUCCUCAUCUUCAACACCGGAAAAUGACAUGCUAGAUUACCUUUUCUCUAGAUAGUUAGGUUGGGAACUUGAGAUUCUAUAUCUGGAGAAGACCAUUCUAUUUCACUGGAGGGGAAAGUUUUUUUCAAGCCUUGGCGCUACCUUUGAUCUUGAUAUAACUCAGGGAUAAGCAUUAAGUCACUUGCAAAAGUAGUUGGAUAAUAGAAAUACUUAUGUGCUUUCAUCCAACAGUAGAAGGGUAACGGUAAACAUAUUUUUGUCAAAAGUACCGUGACAUUUCGUUGACCUAACUAUCUUUUUAGAUGUACAGUUGCAAAAUGCAUUUGAAGCUGUAAUGUAGAUGUGAUGAUGAAUACUACCACUAAUAGAAGAAUUGGAGUGAAGUCAUUGUUGAGUUCCUAUAGGAGUACUGAUGUAUUAUAGGAAAGGAAGAUAUGAUACUAGCGCAUUUGAUUGUGCUUUAUAGUGAAUAUGAAGUAAAAAGAUGGAAGACUUUUACACUAGCA